CCAAUGAUUGAAUAGUAGAUGUUAAGCUUAAAGCAGCAAAGCUUAUAAAACCAAUAAAUAUUAUGCGAAAAAAAAAAAAACUAUUUGGCAAAUCUGGCUGGCGGCUUCUUAGAGUUUGUAUAAACUCUGUUUUAUAUAAAUUCCAUAGGAAUAUAUAAAAAGUAAUGGCCAACAUAUUGAAACAAGGAUCUUUUGGAUGCAAUUGCCCAAGUGGAUAGAACUGAGCCUCCAGAGAAGUUACUGCGCAAAAAAUUUGGUCUACGUCAAUAAAAAGCGGAAAACCGAGGAGCAAACAGAACUUGAGGCCUUUUGAUAUAUGAAUUUAAUGUUAAUUGUUUAUAUUUGUGUUUUAAUUUUAGUAUACAAUAAAUAAU